rnacentral:rRNA from 1 species
AUUGAACGCUGGCGGCAGGCCUAACACAUGCAAGUCGAGCGGUAGAGAGGAGCUUGCUUCUCUUGAGAGCGGCGGACGGGUGAGUAAUGCCUAGGAAUCUGCCUGGUAGUGGGGGAUAACGUUCGGAAACGGACGCUAAUACCGCAUACGUCCUACGGGAGAAAGUGGGGGAUCUUCGGACCUCACGCUAUCAGAUGAGCCUAGGUCGGAUUAGCUAGUUGGUGAGGUAAGGGCUCACCAAGGCGACGAUCCGUAACUGGUCCGAGAGGAUGAUCAGUCACACUGGAACUGAGACACGGUCCAGACUCCUACGGGAGGCAGCAGUGGGGAAUAUUGGACAAUGGGCGCAAGCCUGAUCCAGCCAUGCCGCGUGUGUGAAGAAGGUCUUCGGAUUGUAAAGCACUUUAAGUUGGGAGGAAGGUCAGUAGCUUAAUACGUUGCUGAUUUGACGUUACCGACAGAAUAAGCACCGGCUAACUCUGUGCCAGCAGCCGCAGUAAGAC